UUGCCUACGGGGGGCAGCAGUAGGGAAUAUUGCUCAAUGGGGGAAACCCUGAAGCAGCAACGCCGCGUGGAGGAUGAAGGUUUUCGGAUUGUAAACUCCUUUUAAGGGGGAAGAGCAGAAGACGGUACCCCUUGAAUAAGCCACGGCUAACUACGUGCCAGCAGCCGCGGUAAUACGUAGGUGGCAAGCGUUGUCCGGAUUUACUGGGUGUAAAGGGCGUGCAGCCGGAGAGACAAGUCAGAUGUGAAAUCCACGGGCUCAACCCGUGAACUGCAUUUGAAACUGUUUCCCUUGAGUGUCGGAGG
rnacentral:rRNA from 1 species